UAUUGGUCAAUGGGCGCAAGCCUGAACCAGCCAAGUCGCGUGAGGGAAGACGGUCCUAUGGAUUGUAAACCUCUUUUGUCGGGGAGCAAAGCGCGGUACGAGUACCGUGAAGGAGAGUACCCGAAGAAAAAGCAUCGGCUACCGCCGUGCCCGCAGCCGCGGUAAUACGGAGGAUGCGAGCGUUAUACGGUUUUAUUGGGUUUAAAGGGUGCGUAGGCGGAUUUGUAAGUCAGCGGUAAAAAUGCGUUGCUCAACGCCGUAUCGCCGUUGAAACUGCGGGUCUUGAGUGAGCGAGAAGUAGGCGGAAUGCGUGGUGUAGCGGUGAAAUGCAUAGAUAUCACGCAGAACUCCGAUUGCGAAGGCAGCAUACCGGCGCUCAACUGACGCUGAGGCACGAAAGCGUGGGGAUCGAACAGG
rnacentral:rRNA from 1 species